rnacentral:rRNA from 1 species
UGGGGAAUUUUGGACAAUGGGCGAAAGCCUGAUCCAGCAAUGCCGCGUGUGUGAAGAAGGCCUUCGGGUUGUAAAGCACUUUUGUCCGGAAAGAAAUCCUUGGCUCUAAUACAGUCGGGGGAUGACGGUACCGGAAGAAUAAGCACCGGCUAACUACGUGCCAGCAGCCGCGGUAAUACGUAGGGUGCAAGCGUUAAUCGGAAUUACUGGGCGUAAAGCGUGCGCAGGCGGUUUGCUAAGACCGAUGUGAAAUCCCCGGGCUCAACCUGGGAACUGCAUUGGUGACUGGCAGGCUAACGAUNUGCAUGGAGGGGUAGGGGUAAUAUCCACGUGUAGCAGUGAAAUGCGUAGAGAUGUGGAGGAAUACCGAUGGCGAAGGCAGCCCCCUGGGCCAAUACUGACGCUCAUGCACGAAAGCGUGGGGAGCAAACAGGAUUAGAUACCCUGGUAGUCCACGCCCUAAAACGAUGUCAACUAGUUGUUGGGGAUUCAUUUCCUUAGUAACGUAGCUAACGCGUGAAGUUGACCGCCUGGGGAGUACGGUCGCAAGAUUAAAACUCAAAUGAAUUGAC